rnacentral:misc_RNA from 1 species
UUCAAUAUCUUGGAGGACCGGAAGAUGGUGACAAGAAAAUAGAGCUAAAGCCUGGAUAUAUGAUGGAGCAGGAUAAAGAUGUUGGAGCUGUUGUUGUUGGAUUUGACCGCUAUUUCAACUACCACAAGAUUCAGUAUGCUACCCUGUGCAUACGUGAAAAUCCAGGAUGUCUCUUCAUUGCUACAAAUCGUGAUGCUGUUACCCAUCUUACAGAUGCUCAGGAAUGGGCAGG